AUGUUUAGGAACUACCAGUUCGUUCUGGCGCUGGUAUUUGCCAUUGAAGAGAUCAACAGGAACCCUGAUCUUUUACCCAAUACAACUAUUGGAUAUGAUAUCUAUAAUAUUCCACAUACUGAAAAGAGUAUUCUUCAGAAUGCCUUUCUUUGGUACACAGCGAUAAUUAAUCCCAUUCCUAAUUGUAACUUUGGACACAAGAGAAAGUCACCUGUUGUACUCACAGGACCAUCAUGGCCAGCAUCUGCCAACAUUGGAACAUUUCUACAACUCUACAAAAUCCUCAGCUCACUUUUGGACCUUUUGAUUCUAUCUUGAAUGACCGAGGUCAGUUUAAUUCUCUCUAUUAGAUGGCCCCCAAGGACACAUCUCUGUCACUUGCCAUAGUCUUGUUGUUGCUUCAUUUCAGCUGGUCCUGGGUUGGUCUGAUCCUCCCAGAUGACCACAGAGGGACUCAGAUUCUAUCAGACUUAAGAGAAAAUAUGGAAAGUCAUGGCAUCUGCAUAGCCUUUUUGAAAAUGAUCUCUGGCACAUGGAAUGCAUUUUCCAAUGCACUAUGGAAAAAUAUGGAGACGAUUGAGGAAUCAUCAGCCAAUGCCAUAUUUAUGGAGACAUUACUUCAGUACAAGGUUUAAUGUGACAUAUCGCACAACUGUUAGUGACAUGGAAAGUCUGGGUCUUGAGCUUUUCAUGGGAUGUUGAUACCCACUCUGAUUAUUUCAUGGGAAUCUUAUUUUUUCACACCACCAUGAAGAGAUGGUUGAGUUUAUGAAUUUUGUCCAAACAGUUAAUCCCUACAAAUACCCAGAGGACAAUUAUCUUCCUAAGUUUUGGCAUUUGUUUUUCAAGUGCUCAUUUUCUAAACUUGAUUGUCAACUUUUGGAGAACUGCCAACCCAAUGCUUCUUUGGAUUUACUUCCCAGACACCUUUUUGACCCAGCCAUGAGUGUGGAAGGCUACAAUAUAUACAGUGCUGUGUAUACUGUGGCCUAUAGUCUCCAUGAGAUGAAUCUUCAACAAAUACAGACCCAAUCAUAUGCCAAUGGAGAAGAAAUGCUAUUCUCCCCCUGGCAGCUUCACCCUUUCCUAAAGAACACGAUUAUUAAAAGUCAUGUCAAAAGACACAGAGCAACACAUGGGGGAGGAAACUUAGAUGCACAGUAUGACAUUCUUAAUUUUUGGAACUUUCCAAGUGGUCUUGGAUUAAAGGUGAAAGUAGGAACCUAUUCUCUAAAUGCUCUGCAAGGUCUACAGUUCUCUUUAUGUGAACAGAUGAUACAGUGGCAUAUAGGGUUUACAAAGAUUCCCCAGUCUGUGUGCAGUGAGAGCUGUAGGCCUGGAUUCAGGAAAGCUGCCCAGGAAGGCAAGGCUGUCUGCUGCUUUGAUUGCACUCCCUGUGCAGACAAUGAGAUUUCCAAUGAGACAGGUA
rnacentral:lncRNA from 1 species